rnacentral:lncRNA from 1 species
GUAAGUGUCCCUCCUCUGUCUUCCUGGGAAACUGCACCUGGACUGAGCUUCGGGGAUAGGUUUCGACAGGGCCAAAAAACAGAAGAGCAGGAAAACAUUCCAGAUGGAGUUGACUCCCAUCAGAGCCCUCCUGGACAUGAACUCCUGAGUGCCAGAAACAAGAUUCAUUUAAAGAUACAACUGUGAACGCUGCUGACCACAUUCCAGCGCAGUGUGGAUGUUCAACACCGAAGGGAGGGGACUCGGGCUUGGAUCUGCAGCUAGCAUUGGAUGGACACAGAAUCCUGAACUAUGCAUCGUGCUUUAGCUGCCAUGAAAAUUGAUUUUUUUUUUUUUCAGAAAGGAAUGUGCCAAUGAUGGGACUUAAGCUGGUGAAAACCACGUGGAACGGGAUGCUCAUGGGACCUGCCCCUUGGAGCUCCAGGCCUCCAGGCCUCAGUGCUGGUUUUCCUAAGUCCUUAUUUUCUCCCGUGUUUGGCUGGGGGCUGGUCCGACUUCUCCCUUUGGUGGACUCUCAGUUGUCAAGUGUGAAGUCUUUGAACUGCACACAAGAGUGGGGACAACGUUUCUAUCUGCAAAUCAAGCAAGCGCUUGGGCGAACAUCUUCCCAAGGCAGAGAUGAAGAAUGGGUACUCUAGGAUGCUCCAUUUUGGGACAAACGUCUAGUGGGGCCACAUUUGCAUGGCAACAUGCCAUUUCCACUUUUUCCGUAUUUAGAAGCUUCCCAUGGAGCUCCCGCUGACAGGAGCCACUCAUGUGCACACUGAGUGGAGGCUCAGAAGGAGGAUUUGUCGUAGAGUUGUUUUUCAGAGGCUGGGAGUCAGGGCUGAGGGCCAGCGGGUGGCUCUGCACCCCCAUCCCUCCAUCCCCUGUGGAAUGCCAGGAGUUCUCUUCUCCGUCCCUCAUGCGUGAUGGGGGACAAAUGUCUCCUCACCGGUGACAAUAAUGACAGGCUUCUGUCCAGAGGCAGGAGGGGGGCCAGUAUCAUGCACUGAAGAAACUUUCACAGCACAGUUGUCUGAGACAGGGAAACCCACACGCAGACGGCCAGGGGACCUUGACCUCCUUAGCAAACAGGAAACAAAGUGCUCUUGUUCUCAGGCCGGAAUGAAGCGGCUGUGCGAACACAUCCCAAUUGUACAUCUGAUGCUGACUCACACAGAGCGUUUCCAUUUUUAGAUUUCAGCUACAGAAGGCAGGAAUCCUUUGGACUUGGCCCUUUAUCAGUGGAAUGGACAGAGGUGAGCAGGCGUGGCCAGCAUGGCAUUCCCCUAAACUCAUCCUGGCACUGUGGCAACUCUUUGAGCAAAAUUCCCAGGGAUGUUGAGUUUGUUGUCAGCCACAAGUACUUCCGUUAAGGGCCACUAAGGGUUGUGUUCAUCAAAACUGUAUUUUACAAAUAUCUAAUAUGACCAAGUUAUGAAAGACUUUCUUUGUUCCAAACAAAUUUGGAGGAAAUGGACACACUUUGACUCAAUUUGUUAUCACAUUAGAAUGCAACAUUAUGGGCUGGGUGCAGUGGCUCAUGCCUGUAAUUCCAGCACUUUGGGAGGCCAAGGUGGAUGGAUUGCUUAGUUCUAGCUACUUUGGAGGCCAAGGUGGGAGAACUGCUUGAGCCCAGGAGGUCAAGGUGACAGCGAACUGAGAUUGUGCCACUGCAUUCCAGCCUGGGCAAGAGAGUGAGACCGUGUCCCCCCCGACUCAAAAAAAAAAAAAAAAAGAAUGUGACAUUACACCUCAUAAUUGGAUUGUGGAUAAUUUCCUUAUCUCAAAACAAAAUGAUGGCAGGAAAAUUGCCGAGCUUAUUUCUCUUUGAUCUGUGGCACUGGCUGGAUGGUAGAAGCAGAAUGCCACCCUCCAUUUAGCUGAUGACGAUGACCCACAUCUCCUUGCCUUCCCAGCAGCUCUCGGUGGGGUCUCUGUUGGGAAUGCCUGCUGAGACGGGACCAAGGACGGCUGCAGGAUGUGGUGUCUGUGCUCAGCGUCACCUCCUCCCAGGCUCCUGGGAAGCACCUGAGCAUCUCCUGACAAAGCCACCAUGAGCAAGACCCUCAGAGAAGGUAUGAAGAUGAGAGGCUGGUGUGAAGAGGCUGCUGUGAAGCAACUAUAUAGCAUCGGGCAGGACAUAAGGGGAAAUUGUUGCUUUCAUGUUCCUUUACCCCCACAGUUUGGAUUUCUGCCACAAGGAUCACUGUGGUCUUCCUCCCUGGGGCUCACUCCACCUACCCCACACCUCCCACCUCCCCCGUCCUCUCUUGGGGGACUUCCUGAGUUCUCGACAGAGCAGUUUCACUGUCUUCUCUCCACGCUUCCUGGACUGGCCCGCCCAUUUUUUUCUAUGACCCAGAAUUCCUUCCCAAAUAAGAGCGUCAUAUUCCUUGAGCCCCUUCACUAGAAGCAAGGAGAUGGGCAGGCGUUGAACUGCGGCUUUUCUCUAGACUCUUCCCUAAUCCCUAGGUUCCCCCAACUAUUUAGUCUAGAGCAAGCCCAGGAACAGUGAUUUUUUUUUUUUAACCUGCCAUUUCUGUUAUUCAAGCUGUUUUAGUCAGUUCAGGCUGCUGUAACAAAAAUGCAAUGGCCUGGGUGGUUUUAACAACAGAAAUGGAUUUCUCACAGUUCUUGUGAGGCUGGGACGCAGGAACCCCCACAUCCAAGUGCCAGGCAGUUCCGUGGCUGGGAGGGCUCCAGACUGGUGUGUGGAUGGCACCUUCUGCUGUGUCCUCACAUGGCUGAGAGAUGGGUCAUCUCUGUUCUUAUCAGGGCACUAAUCCCAUUCACAAGGCCCCCCAUGACCUAAUCACCUCCUAAAUGCCCCGCUUCCUAAUACCAGCACCUUGGAAAAUAGGGCUUCAAGAUACAAAUUUUGGGGGACUCAAACAUUCCAUCCAUAGCACCCGCUCAUGUGCUGUGAUGUCCAGUGAGCAGGCGGAGUUCCAGGGCUGGUCAGUGCCAGGUGCUCCUUCUCCCACCCGAGAACAGGGGCCAGGUUGCUCCUCAGGCACCCUGGGCAACUGCCCCUUCCCUUCCAGUGGGGCCUGACCUGGCUACCGAGCUUGGCAGCUAAUAGGCGGGCCCCUCAGCAUUCACGCUCCUGAGCUGCUUUAUCAAACUAGGAUUGUUCCCCCAGGUCUAAGAAAACCAUCCAUUCACUGCAAAGUUAUUUAUUACUGCGGAUGGGCUAGGAGUUAGAGGAAGAGAGUGACUCAAAUCACAACACCUCCUGGACGAAGCUGGAAGGGAUUAAAAUACGGCCUAAUUUCUCCCUUGCUGUGUGAAGCGUGUGGUUCUCCUAGAACAUCAGCCCGACUGUCGCUGGGUAGCGGCGGUACUGUUCAUUCUGCAUUAGCUUUGUCCAGAUUGUUCAGUGUGGGUCCCUGCCUACAGAUCUUGAUUCCUUGAGAUUGCCCUUUGUGCUUCUGUCUGGGGACUGCCUGUUUCUGUAAUGGCCACCGUCUCAGAACACAUGGUUGUAGGCCUCAGCAUUUGCCUUACACACAGCCCCCUUGGAGACAAACCGUGUCUGUGUCCCUCAGAAGGCCCUGACUUUCAGGGCACACUCCAGCCUGACUUUGGCACUCUGCUAGACACAUCCGAAACGCUGGUUCUCGUGUUGAAGUCUGUUAUGGAUAUGUAGGGUAAGGCAGGGAAACUGGAGCGCCUGCAUACCCUUGACUUCCUCCAUUUGGAAAAGAUAACCCUGAGACAUGGUGGAGGAGAAGGGGCCCUGACCUGUCAGCUACAUCUGGAUGUAACUCCCCUGAUGAAGAAAGUGCCAGAGGCAGCAAAGCAGCCCUUAUAGGGUAUUUUGUGCUCCCCCAACAGAGGAAGAGGAGCUUAGGGUCUCCAGGGAGAAUGUCUGGUUGUGAAGAGCCGCCAGGACCUGGAGCUGCACGGUUGCUCAGUGUGCAUUUCACUUGGUCAGCCCCUACGCUGGAGAGUGCUUGCAUCCGAACCUUCAGUGCCUGGAUAGACACUGAGCUGAGCGAACGGUAUGCUGGAAAAUGAAGCGUGCAAGUGACAAAGUGCUCAACUUAGACUCUGGGCAAAAUUCUCACAAAGGGCUUUCUAAUCCUCACUUAAUGGAAGAGUGGAGCAAUUUCCAGCAGAAGUUGUGGCUUGCUUCACCAGGUCUGCUCAGCCGGAGUGGGAGGUGACCCCAGGGGCCCAAGCUGGGGGCGUGGCUGGGAAAUGCACAGAAAGAGACUUCGACGGGGGUGGCUAUGGUUUGUGCUGUGCUGUGCACACGUCUGGCUGAUAGAAAUCUAUGUCUAUAAACAGGUAACACAAUUUGGUUUAUCAAACCCAUAAUAAGCAGAUUUUCUGACUUGCAUAAGAAUUUCUCUGUAAUCUUUGCUUUAAAGUCCGUUGAAUGCCAUAGAAAAAGUUGCAUUUGAUGAGGCUUCAGGAAAGAAAAGGUAACAAACUAUUCUAAGAGAUGAGGAUAGUGCCUGAGUGGGGCCCAGGACAGACAGGGGGUCCUCACCUCUUGCUGCUGGGGUUGGCUGCAGGGCUUUGCCUCAGUCUGAUUUUUUGCAGCAUCUACACAGUUUAAAUACUUGGAAAAAUCCUCUUUGUGAGUGUAUUAAGUCACAGCCUACCAAUGUGACAAAUGACAUCUAAAUGCAAUUUACAAAUCCUAAGUUCCAGGUAGAAGAGAACGUGGUAGGUCCACGUCUUCAUUUUCCCAUACCUUUAGUCCGUCGAGACUCCGCUUAGCCAGCUCUGGCCAUCCCUUUAUCCUCCUAGGAACAGAAUCUUACAUGCAGUAUUUUUACUGGUACGUAAAAAAUUUAAGGCUGCACUAAGCAGGCGCCCAGGCCCCCAGAGUCAGAAGGGAGUGUACGGUGCACACAUGAUGACGAUUUGAAAAGAGCCUGGCUUCAGGGCCUUGCAGAUGAAGCUAACAAACCCCCUGUUCGGGAGGGAGCACCUGCACCCCAGCCCCCUCCCUCAGGGAUGCAUCUGCAGCCACUCCGGGGCAGGGCUGAUGCCUCUGUGAUGGUCCCGAUGGUCCCGCCCGCAGCCUGCUCUUUGUGGCUCUUUGUUGCUCUUUGUCACAGUCCUGCUCAACAGCUGGUGCUUGCAGGAAGAAGCUCUCUGGCUGCAAGAAAGCCAGGGUGUGGGUGGAUGACAGAAUAAAUGGGAGGGAUGGAGGGCGUCUACUUGGCAGUUCGGAUUCCUG